GCUGUGCUGUCUGUCGAAUUGUCACAUGUCUGUCAUAUAGAUACCUGGUAUUGUUUUGGAAAGCGUGGUUCUUCGCGUGAUCUUUUUCGUUAUUCCAAUCAAUUCCAAUUCAUUUUACGCAAAUUUAAUAAAUGCGUAUAGAAAUCUCGAAUAUAGUGAUUUAUUGUUUAGCAAUUUUUUAAAAGAACUUUGAUAAUAUGUCAAAAAAGUUUCAACCCAAACCUUCGUGGAAAAACCAAUAUAGUGCAGAACAUGAUUACCGUUCCACUGGAGGAGAGAGACGCGUUAGCUUCAAAACAUCAAAAUAUAAGAAAAAUAACAAAGGAAACGUGAAAGAUUGGAGCUCUUCAAUAAGAGCACACUUGUAUGAUGAAGAUAUUGACAUUGAUAUGGGCGCUAGUGGGCCAAGCAAAUCGAAUAAUAGAUAUAUUAAAAAAGGAAAUAGAUCUGGAUCACCUGCACCUAAACAUUCUAAGAGAAAAUUGUGGGAAGGUCCUACUAGUUGGUAUCGAGUAACUCUUCCAUUUGGUAACAAAUAUGAUAAACAGCUUGUUCAACAAACACUAUCGGAAAAACUGAGUCCUCUUCCAUUUUGGCCUAUUUCUUGGAAAAAUAAUGGAAAUAUAUCUACUUUCUAUGUAGAUGAUUAUAAAAUAGCAGAACAGCUUUAUAGCUUAGACCGUACUAUUCCGAUGCCUGAUGGAUUUAAGAUGAUAAUUAAAGUGCAUUAUGGCUCACCAAAUGUGAAUAUCACCACAGAAUUAAAGGAAAAAAUGAAGCUAGCUAUGGCUAAUAGAUAUAACGCAGCAAAUAAAGCUCUCGAUUUAACAAAAUUCCAUAGUGACCCUAUGUUACAAGAUUAUUUUUGUGCUCUUUAUAAACCGAUAAUACUUUUGGCUGUUAUUGACAUAAUAGCAGAAAAUAUACCGGACCUGGAGGCACUCAACUUGAAUGAUAAUAAAAUUCAAAUAUUAACAUUCUUGCAAAAGUUUGUAGCUAAAUUAGAUAAAGUUAAAAUUUUAUAUUUAGGACAAAAUAAGAUAAGGGAUAUUGGAAUGUUGGAUUCCUUGAAAGGACUACCUUUAAUUGAACUCUUCUUAGAUGGUAACCCGUUAUGUGAUAAAUUCAAAGAUAAAUCUAUUUAUAUAAGUGAAGUCAGAUCCAGGUUUCCAAAAGUUAUGAAACUGGAUGGUUUGGACCUACCACCCCCAAUAGGUUUUGACCUAGCUGAUGAGGUAGCUCUACCUACUCCUCUACAGACUUUCCUUUGUGACUCUAAUGCUGAAUCUAUUAUACGACAAUUUCUCGCACAGUAUUUCACAAUAUUCGACAGUGAAAACAGACAAAUGCUGAUACAGGCAUACCAUGAACAAGCAACUUUCUCAAUGACGAUGGCAUAUCCUUAUGGUACUAAGGAUAAAACAGUUAAUUGGCUGAAUUGGUAUAACACUGACAAUAGAAACCUCAUAAAAUUGACAGAUCCAGAAAGAAGAUUCAAACUUCUCAAACAAGGAAAUGUGUCUAUAGUGUCUUUUUUGAAAGAAAUGCCGUCCACUUCCCAUGAUUUGAUGAAUUUCCAUGUGGAUUUAACAGUAUGCAAUCCUUUGAUGAUGAGCUUCAAAGUAGCAGGACCUUUCAAAGAGUUAAAAGGAACUCACAAAAAUGCACCUGUGAGAUGGUUUUCUAGAACAUUUGUGAUUGUUCCAGUAGGUACAGGAUUUUGUAUUAGUAAUGAAUUGCUUCAUGUGAGCAAUGCCACCGAAGAACAAAUUAAGGCAUUUUUAUCAGCGCCUUCAGUUCCUGCUGUUGUACCUGCUCCUGUUGCAAAUAUCCCACCAUCGGUAGUUGCAUCUCCUACACUAGGUGCACCUCCAGUAGUAGUUACGUCUCCUUUGGUGCCUCUGACUAAUUCCAUUGAUGACAGUACCAAGCAGCAGAUGUUGCAAGCUCUAAUGUUACAUUCUGGCAUGAACUUGGCAUGGUCUACUAAGUAAGUGAUUUAUUGCAAUAAUUGAAACUGUGAAAGCCUUAAUGUGAAGUGAGAAUGUUUUGAACACUUAUUCGAAUUUGUAAUUUGUUCAAGUAAUUCUUUCAUAGAAUUUUGCAUGUACAUUUUUGAUCCACUAUACAUAAUAAAGGUAUAACUUUAUGCAUAUAUAUGGGUACUACACACAUAUUCGAUAAAUGUAUAUUGAGAUAUUGAAAUUCCACCAAAAGUUUAUCAUCCAAUGAUACGAAAAUCACAAGAAUCUGUAUGAACAUUUGUUUUUAUAUUUUGCAACUGAUUUUUUAAUUCAUUUUGUUUUUUGAGAAGAUGGUUAUAACUUCAGAACCAUCCAAUGGACCUUGUUUAGAACUUAAUUGAAAAUUUCUAGUAAAUACUAAUGCAUUCGACAGUUAUCUUGUACACAACCAUUCUGACACAUCGAUUUUGACAUUGAGAGCUUUGACAGUAGGUUCAAAGGGUUAUAUUAAGACCUUUCAACCCUGAUUUUUUAACAUCCUUUAUGAUUCUAAUUCAAUCUUUAAGAAGCAUGUGAUAGAAUGAUGUUUACAAGAAACAGAGUGGAAUUUUGACAAAGCAACUGCAGUAUUCAACGAAGUACGUAACCAGGGAAAAAUACCCCCAGAAGCAUUUGUGAAAAAUGAAAAUAUUUAGAUUUGUACAUUUGUAAAUAAUUAUUGGACUACUAUUAGCUUAUAUCUUUAAAUUAAAUGAUAUUAUUUUUAUAAAAA